CUGGACACUGGAAUGAGCUAAUUCCCGAGGAUGACCAGUAGGAGGCGCUGCGGGGGUAGAGCACUCAUCUGAGAGAUGACUGAUCCCUAUUCAGAUCCUGUCUUCCCUUCGGGCAGAGGUGGAAUUUGAACCAGAGACCUCUCACAUCCCAAAUACAAAUUGGAAGAUGGACAGAGACAGAGAGGGGCUGUUUUGGAGUGUUUGCCCCUGCUUUCUAUAGCUUCAGUCCCCUCAUGAAAAGCAUCUCUAGCUGAGAAACAGGAGAAAAAGUGCCUCUGUGGAAGUAUGGUCCCUGCUGGAUUUUUUCACCUGUGUGAAUUUCCUUUUGUUUCUUCUCUUCCCCCUUUCUGUUUUGUUACUAUUUACUGUUUAAAUGCAAAUUAAGACAAACACACUUUCCUUUGUUCAGGGCAGGGCUGUGGGGCUUGAAACAUGUACUAACAUUAUACAGGAGAAUUUUAUAACUUCACAUACAACGUUGAAACAUAUAUUUUAGCAUAUGAUGGAACAUAUAUUGAAAUAUAUAUUUAGCAAAUGAGAAAAAUAAGAGAAAUUAGCAGCAGAACCUUCAGUAGUGCUUUAUGGUC